GAUGAACGCUGGCGGCGUGCCUAAUACAUGCCAGUCGAGCGAACAGACGAGGAGCUUGCUCCUCUGACGUUAGCGGCGGACGGGUGAGUAACACGUGGAUAACCUACCUAUAAGACUGGGAUAACUUCGGGAAACCGGAGCUAAUACCGGAUAAUAUAUUGAACCGCAUGGUUCAAUAGUGAAAGACGGUUUUGCUGUCACUUAUAGAUGGAUCCGCGCCGCAUUAGCUAGUUGGUAAGGUAACGGCUUACCAAGGCGACGAUGCGUAGCCGACCUGAGAGGGUGAUCGGCCACACUGGAACUGAGACACGGUCCAGACUCCUACGGGAGGCAGCAGUAGGGAAUCUUCCGCAAUGGGCGAAAGCUUGACGCAGCAACGCCGCGUGAGUGAUGAAGGUCUUCGGAUCGUAAAACUCUGUUAUUAGGGAAGAACAAAUGUGUAAGUAACUAUGCACGUCUUGACGGUACCUAAUCAGAAAGCCACGGCUAACUACGUG
rnacentral:rRNA from 1 species